rnacentral:tRNA from 1 species
GGUAAAAUGGCUGAGUAAGCAUUAGACUGUAAAUCUAAAUACAGGGGUUCAAGCCCCCUUUUUAUCA